rnacentral:rRNA from 1 species
GCGUGAGUGAAGAAGGCCUUAGGGUUGUAAAGCUCUUUCGGUGGUGACGAUGAUGACGGUAGCCACAGAAGAAGCCCCGGCUAACUCCGUGCCAGCAGCCGCGGUAAUACGGAGGGGGCAAGCGUUGUUCGGAAUUACUGGGCGUAAAGGGCGCGUAGGCGGGCGACCAAGUCAGAGGUGAAAGCCCUGGGCUCAACCCGGGAGGUGCCUUUGAAACUGGAUGUCUGGAGUUCGGGAGAGGAUGGCGGAAUUCCCAGUGUAGAGGUGAAAUUCGG